rnacentral:rRNA from 1 species
ACCCGCUGAACUUAAGCAUAUCAAUAAGCGGAGGAAAAGAAACCAACAGGGAUUGCCCUAGUAACGGCGAGUGAAGCGGCAACAGCUCAAAUUUGAAAUCUGGCCCUCUUUGGGGGUCCGAGUUGUAAUUUGCAGAGGGUGCUUUGGCAUUGGCGGCGGUCUAAGUUCCUUGGAACAGGACAUCGCAGAGGGUGAGAAUCCCGUACGUGGGCGCCUGCCUUUGCCGUGUAAAGCCCCUUCGACGAGUCGAGUUGUUUGGGAAUGCAGCUCUAAUUGGGAGGUAAAUUUCUUCUAAAGCUAAAUACCGGCCAGAGACCGAUAGCGCACAAGUAGAGUGAUCGAAAGAUGAAAAGUACUUUGGAAAGAGAGUCAAAUAGCACGUGAAAUUGUUGAAAGGGAAGCGCUUGCAGCCAGACGUGCCCGCAGUUGCUCACCCAGGCUCCGGCCUGGGGCACUCUUCUGCGGGCAGGCCAGCAUCAGUUUGGGCGGUUGGAUAAAGGCCUCUGUCACGUAUCUCCCUUCGGGGUGACCUUAUAGGGGAGGCGCAAUGCAACCAGCCCGGACUGAGGUCCGCGCAUCUGCUAGGAUGCUGGCGUAAUGGCUGUAAGCGGCCCGUCUUGAAACACGGACCAAGGAGUCUAACAUCUAUGCGAGUGUUUGGGUGUCAAGCCCGGGCGCGUAAUGAAAGUGAACGGAGGUGGGAACCCUUUGGGUGCACCAUCGACCGAUCCUGAUGUCUUCGGAUGGAUUUGAGUAAGAGCAUAGCUGUUGGGACCCGAAAGAUGGUGAACUAUGCUUGAAUAGGGUGAAGCCAGAGGAAACUCUGGUGGAGGCUCGCAGCGGUUCUGACGUGCAAAUCGAUCGUCAAAUUUGGGCAUAGGGGCGAAAGAC